rnacentral:rRNA from 1 species
AUACGUAGGUGGCAAGCGUUGUCCGGAAUUAUUGGGCGUAAAGCGCGCGCAGGUGGUUCCUUAAGUCUGAUGUGAAAGCCCCCGGCUCAACUGGGGAGGGUCAUUGGAAACUGGGGAACUUGAGUGCAGAAGAGGAUAGUGGAAUUCCAAGAGUAGCGGUGAAAUGCGUAGAGAUUUGGAGGAACACCAGUGGCGAAGGCGACUGUCUGGUCUGUAACUGACACUGAGGCGCGAAAGCGUGGGGAGCAAACAGGAUUAGAUACCCUGGUAGUCCACGCCGUAAACGAUGAGUGCUAAGUGUUGGGGGGUUUCCGCCCCUCAGUGCUGCAGCUAACGCAUUAAGCACUCCGCCUGGGGAGUACGGUCGCAAGACUGAAACUCAAAUGAAUUGGCGGGG